AUAGGGCAGCCUUAGAAGAGCAAAAUCGCAAUUUAAUGGAAAUAAUAAAAUCCAUUCAGGCACCAAGAGCACCGGCAAUAGACGGGAGAGCACUCCACGUCACUCUAUCCAAGUCUUGCCCUAACACCGCUGGAGCAGAUGCAUCAGCUUGGUGUACUACAGUGGACUUAAUUUUUGCGGAUAAUGCUCUCGAAGGCAGUGCGCUUGUGAUUGCGUUAAGCAAAGCAUUAGAAGGCAGUGCAUCGCAAUGGCUGUCCCAAAUAUGCUUCGCUGGUAUCACAUGGCCGCAGUUUAAGGAACUCUUCAUCCAACGUUUUGUGGGCAUUGAGACAACUUCUGCCAUACUGAUGAACAUUUUGAACGGACGUCCCAAAACUGGAGAGAGUUUCGCUGAGUACGACAGUCACAUUGUCACCUUAUUGCUCUCUAAGGCUGAUGUCAGAGUCCGAGCGAGAAGCGAUGCGAUAAUAUUGAGCGAGAACGAGCGAUAAACCAGUGCAAGCUUUUUCAUAAACAAUCGCUCGAAAGAUGUCAGAGUGAGAGCGAAGCGAGUUGCGAGUUCAAGCGAGAUCAAAGCGAGAGAACAGUUUGUAACCUGCUUUAUCGCUUCAACUCUCUCAGAGCGUACGAUUGUUUUGUUGCAUUCUGUGAUUUAAUUACCGUUUUUUUUCAAAGCACGCGUGUUUGAAAGCUCAGAUGGUAAGUUUGUAACUCUAUUUUUAGCUUUAUUUACAGUUUACUCUAAAAUCAUGCGUUUUUUUUGCAUUUGGUGUCAUUUGUGAGAGAACACAAGAACGAAAUGGAUAUCGAAAAUUUAAUUAGUGAAGUAUUUUUACGCCCAGCGCUAUGGGACCAAAAGAGCAAAAACUAUCACAACAGAAUUUUGGUGGAAAAAAAUUGGACAGAAAUUGAAAACAUGUUAGAAACAUCAAUCGCGAAAAGCGUUUCUAAUUAGUUGGCCUGUUUUUAAAUUUACAUGAUUUAAAGUUUCGGCGUUGUUA